AGCUUUGUGCAGUGGCAGUAUUUUAGCCAAUGAGGUUUAUCUGAGGCAUGAUUGCUAAUUGAAAACUUUUUCCAAUACCCUGCCACGAUGACUUGAAAUACAGUUGGCAGUGGCAAUUUUUGACAGUCUCUAUGGAGA
ensembl:snRNA U4 U4 spliceosomal RNA